AGCGAACGCUGGCGGCAGGCUUAACACAUGCAAGUCGAGCGGACCUUUCGGGGUCAGCGGCGGACGGGUGAGUAACGCGUGGGAACGUGCCUUCCGGUUCGGAAUAACCCCGGGAAACUAGGGCUAAUACCGGAUACGCCCUUAUGGGGAAAGGUUUACUGCCGGAAGAUCGGCCCGCGUCUGAUUAGCUAGUUGGUGGGGUAACGGCCUACCAAGGCGACGAUCAGUAGCUGGUCUGAGAGGAUGAUCAGCCACACUGGGACUGAGACACGGCCCAGACUCCUACGGGAGGCAGCAGUGGGGAAUAUUGGACAAUGGGCGCAAGCCUGAUCCAGCCAUGCCGCGUGAGUGAUGAAGGCCUUAGGGUUGUAAAGCUCUUUUAUCCGGGACGAUAAUGACGGUACCGGAGGAAUAAGCCCCGGCUAACUUCGUG
rnacentral:rRNA from 1 species